CAGAACUACGCCUGGUUUAAAGAAGGAGGAACCUCACCUGUAGGAUCUGGACAGACAUACAACAUCACCAUCAGCUCUAAUAGCAGCGGCUGGUAUUACUGUGUAGCUCAGAAUGAACACGGGAUGCUGAAAUCAGCUUCCAUAGAUGCCACUUUAAAGGGUCACUUCUACAUUUUGCCUAUAGCUGUUGGAGUCGGCCUCUUUGGAGGCAAGAGGCAAAAGAGAAAUACAGAUGAAUCUGAUUAUGGGGACUUAAAGAAACAUCACUAAGAGAAUCAUCACUGAGAAAUUAAACUUGCAGCUGUAUCCCAAUGCAGUCAAAAGAGUGAGAGAUAUAGAGGGGAAGAGAGAUGGAUGAUCACAUGUAGACAAGAGUGUUCAGUUAAUCAACAGUAAAAAAUGUAAUCAACUGCAAAAAAUGUUGUAGCCUUUCUUUUUUUUUUUUGUACUGAUGGAAAAUAACCUUGUUCUUAUUCUGAAAAUUGAACUAAUUAAUAAUCUAAAUUAAAAUCUAAAUGUUUUAUUAUUUGUUAA